CCCACCGAAAGGUGUGCUAAUACCGGAUACGCUGAGCAAUCAGGAAAGGUGGCCUCUUCAUGAAAGCUACUGUACCAGGAGGAGCUUGCGUACCAUUAGCUAGUUGGUAGGGUAAUGGCCUACCAAGGCAACGAUGGUUAGCGGGUCUGAGAGGAUGAUCCGCCACACUGGAACUGAAACACGGACCAGACUCCUACGGGAGGCAGCAGUGAGGAAUAUUGCGCAAUGGGGGAAACCCUGACGCAGCGACGCCGCGUGGAUGAUGAAGGCCUUCGGGUCGUAAAAUCCUGUCAGAUGGAAAGAAAUGUAGUAUGCCUAAUACGUGUACUAUUUGACGGUACCAUCAAAGGAAGCACCGGCUAACUCCGUGCCAGCAGCCGCGGUAAUACGGAGGGUGCAAGCGUUGUUCGGAAUUACUGGGCGUAAAGCGCGCGUAGGCGGUUUGUUAAGUCAGAUGUGAAAGUCCACGGCUCAACCGUGGAAGUGCAUUUGAAACUGGCAGGCUUGAGUACUGGAGGGGGUGG
rnacentral:rRNA from 1 species